rnacentral:lncRNA from 1 species
UCUAAACAAGAAAAAGAUGUGAGUUGAGGUGAGUUCAGCUAAAGCUAACUGGCUACUUUAGCUCAUUUCGGCUUACCCUAACCACCUAUUUUAGCUCAGCUUGGCUAACGCUAACCAGAAACUUUAGGUCAGCUUGGCUUUUGCUAACCGGCUACAUUGGGUGAUCUUGGCUAAUCCUAACUGGCUACUUUAGCUCAGCUUGGCUAACGCUGAGUAUGCUAACUAAGCUUAGCUAAAGUUAACUAGCUACUUUAGGUGAGCUUUCCUGACGCUAGCGGCUUCCUUAUGUGAGCUCAGCUAAAGUUAACCAGCUACUUUAGGUAAGUAUGGCUAAAGCUAACUAGCUUUUUUAGGUCAGCUCGGUUAAUGCAGCCAGCUACUUUAGUUCAGCUUGGCUAAUGCUAACCAGCUAUUUUGGGUCAGCUCAGCUAAAGCUAACCAGCUACUUUAGCUCAGCUUGGCUAAUGCUAACCGGCUACUUUAGGAGAGCUCAGCUAAAGCUAACCAGCCACUUUAGCUCAGCUUGUCUAAUGCUAACCGGCUACUUUAGGUGAGCUCAGCUAAAGCUAACCAGCUACUUUAGCUCGGCUUGGCUAAAGCUAACUGUACUGCAACAGGAUGCUCUUUUCUUUUAUAAGUCUGUGUUCACAAAGAGUUUUUUACAGAACACGGUUCUCUCAGCUCUGUUGUAUUUAAAUCUCCUGAGUAAAUCUCAGAUCAUUAAUAUCUUAAAGACAGUCUAUAUAAAAAUAAAAACUUCUUGGCUUUGCUGGAGAGUGAACCUGUGUCAUGGGGAUCAUUUGUGUAACAGAACACAACAACUGCUAUGUUUUGAUGUUGGCUUUCAGCGCUUGUUCAUCACACCUCUCUGCUUCAUCUUUAGGCCUGUACUGCUGGACUGCACAUGGCUCUAUAUAUGCAACCAGCAAAAAAGGAAAGGCAGAGAAAUUCCAUAGGUCAGGAGUCAGCAUGCAGAAAGCUGUUCCAACUGCAUGAGCUUACUGAUGCUGCCCACACGAGAGCUGGAGGUACAGACCACACAUCUGCCUGGCAUCCUGCCAUCCUGACUUGUUGCAGAAGGAUGAGGCUAUCAUCAUGGGAAAGCAGACUGGAGUUACUUUCAAACUUUGCUUACCAGCAGAUCUGAUCUUCAGCAUAUUUACCAGCUCCGCCAACUGAAGCACAGAUAAAGCUCAAAAACCCAUUAGCUGCUUCACUGAAGUCUGUUCACACAAUGUAAAGGUCAUCUGGCAAUUUUCACAUGGUAAACCAAUAAAAAUAAGACAGGCGUUUGAUGUAAUAUUAAA